rnacentral:rRNA from 1 species
AUUGAACGCUGGCGGCAGGCCUAACACAUGCAAGUCGAGCGGUAGAGAGGAGCUUGCUUCUCUUGAGAGCGGCGGACGGGUGAGUAAUGCCUAGGAAUCUGCCUGGUAGUGGGGGGUAACGUUCGGAAACGGACGCUAAUACCGCAUACGUCCUACGGGAGAAAGUGGGGGAUCUUCGGACCUUACGCUAUCAGAUGAGCCUAGGUCGGAUUAGCUAGUUGGUGAGGUAAAGGCUCACCAAGGCGACGAUCCGUAACUGGUCUGAGAGGAUGAUCAGUCACACUGGAACUGAGACACGGUCCAGACUCCUACGGGAGGCAGCAGUGGGGAAUAUUGGACAAUGGGCGCAAGCCUGAUCCAGCCAUGCCGCGUGUGUGAAGAAGGUCUUCGGAUUGUAAAGCACUUUAAGUUGGGAGGAAGGCCAGUAGCUUAAUACGUUGCUGAUUUGACGUUACCGACAGAAUAAGCACCGGCUAACUCUGUGCCAGCCGCCGCAGUAAAAC